rnacentral:ncRNA from 1 species
AAUCUUAGGUGCUGGAAACUACCAAGCUAGAGUACAGUAGGGGCAAAGGGAGGAGCGGUGAAAUGCGUAGAGUUCAUAAAGAACAAUGGCGAAAGCACCCUGCUGGGCCAACACUAAUACUGAGAGACAAAAACUAGGGGAGGGAAUAACCCAGUAGUCAACAAUGGAUACUAGGCAUUGUGCGUAUCAACCCAUGCCGUGUUGUAGCUAAUGUGUUACGUAUCC